AUUGAACGCUGGCGGCGUGCCUUACACAUGCAAGUCGAACGGUAACAGGUCUUCGGAUGCUGACGAGUGGCGAACGGGUGAGUAAUACAUCGGAACGUGCCUAGUAGUGGGGGAUAACUACUCGAAAGAGUGGCUAAUACCGCAUGAGAUCUACGGAUGAAAGCAGGGGAUCGCAAGACCUUGUGCUACUAGAGCGGCCGAUGGCAGAUCAGGUAGUUGGUGGGAUAAAAGCUUACCAAGCCGACGAUCUGUAGCUGGUCUGAGAGGACGAUCAGCCACACUUGGACUGAGACACGGCCCAGACUCCUACGGGAGGCAGCAGUGGGGAAUUUUGGAAAAUGGGCGAAAGCCUGAUUCAGCAAUGCCGCGUGAAGGAUGAAGGCCUUCGGGUUGUAAACUGCUUUUGUACGGAAAGAAAAGCCCCGGGUUAAUACCCUGGGGUCAUGACGGUACCGUAAGAAUAAGCACCGGCUAACUACGUGCCAGCCGCCGCCGUAA
rnacentral:rRNA from 1 species